AUACGCAAUUGGAUGAAAAGAGAGAAGUUAGCAAUAAGUAAUUAGUAGUCCGCCACUGACUAGUUUUCCCAAGGUGUGGUUUAAGCCUUGCACUCUCUCUGUGCCAACCCCUGCAAUUCAGUCAGCUGCAGAGAACUCCACAGCAUAAUUUGUGGCAGCUGGGGACUGCAUUUGUGCGCUGCCCCAGG
ensembl:snRNA U1 U1 spliceosomal RNA